CACAAAGGUACAGCCAUACGUGUACGACACAGGAAGAUUGGGAGGCUGGCAUUCCGUGACUUUACUUGAUCAAGUCAGUAUUUCAGAUCAAAGAAGAGUUGGGAUGACUUGCAUGAGCACCAAGGUCUCACAAGCUGUAGUAGUGGGAAAUAGAUCAGUACCUCAGAACAGCCACAUCUCACUUGGUUAUGAAGUUACAGGCGCUGUUCAGAGGUGAAACGACACAAGUGCAAUGCCACUGCUACCAGUAGGUGAGCUGACUUAGAAACAGGGGACAGCGUUAGAAAUAUGCAGGAGAGGAUUGACAAACACACCUGACUGAUUGAAAACAACAGCUUGUCAUUUAUUAGUGCAUUUUACAUCCCAUGUGCAUGUCUGUAAUCUACAAAAUACAAACAUUAAAUCCAUUAGACAUGAAAAACCUGUGCAAACUGUUUAGACAUAAGAACAUUUGUUGAAAUAUAGUCCAACCAAAACUGGCCUGCAGGUAAGUUAAAAAAAAAAAAAGUGGAAAAACCUUACAUGCCAAAAUACUACUAGUGUUAAAUAAUCAUUUGCAGCCAUUGAAAUAAAAUGUAUAAUAAAAUGGUCUUCAAUACAAAUUUGGUACAUGAAAUGGUAUGCUGUUAAUGCUAAGAGAUCCUCCUUUAAGAUCAUUUUUGGCAUAAAUGUUUUGUCUUUCACAUCUAGCGUCUAGCUGUCCACACGAUCAUUCAUCUGAAGAGCAUCACUCAUGGCAUCUAUCUCUCACAAUCAGUGCACCAGCAGAAGCCAUUUGAUGAGGAUCUGGGCUGCUGUUCACUCGGCCUCUAACAUGGGGACAGAGCUGAGCUACGUAGACUUGGUCUUGAUCCACUCCAGAGAGUCCCCUGUUAUCUGGUAGAUUCCUGAAGAGAGCCUCAACCUACAGUCAUGGCUUGUCUGUGCAUAUCCACACGUCACUACUGAAGGAUCUACUCAGCCCUUCAACCCUGUAGAGAAUGUGCUAGUGAAGAGCAGGAGAGCAGAGGGAUGUCAUGCUAAGCAGGGAAACGGAGUUAUCCAGUUUACAACACCUGAAACUUCUCUUCAAGAUCCGUGCACCUGGAACGGCACUUCCUGCACGUGGAAGGGUUCCUGGUUUCACUCGGUACUGUGAUCUGGCACACCUAACCCAGAUCUUGCUUUACACGGUGUCCCCCUUUGUCUGGUCUACAGGUACGAGUGGUUACGAUGAGUGCUAGAAGGAUGCGGUCUGCUGGUGGAAGUUUUUUUUUCCUUUUUCUUUUUAAAACCUGCGUGGCAACUUAACAGCCAAGAUCACCAGGCUGCACGUAUCCACAGACCGGCGCUGUUGUGCUGUAGGCUAGUGUGAGUUACAGACUAGAGAGAGAGACAGAAAAAAGAGUCCACAGGAGUCUGUUUGAGUGGUGAUACUGUUGUAGCGACUGAUGACCACUUUGGCAUUGGAUGCUGUAAGAUUGAACUCGGCAGGUUUUGUAGACGGUCACUUGACCAGCCAGACCCACAUGCAUCCCAAAGGGCGUUGUAAACGAAGGGCUGUCAUUUGGUGGUUAUCACCAAAUCAUACCUCCUUCAGUUAUUAGAAUAUGAAAACGCUAGAACUCAGAAUUAGUUUCCAGCUGCACCAUAGCAUGAUGGACCUACUUCUUAAUGAAAGCCAUUAGUGAAGAGAAUCUAAAUUCAGAGGAACACAGAUCCACAGAGCACCACUAAUACUGUACUUUAGAAAAAGCAACGUGGCUCUCUGUUCUGCCUUCUGUGUAGGACAUGAACACCAAUAGACUCUCCAAAAAUAGAACACUGGAACUGAUAUAAAAGUGGCAUGUUGAAUUGGAAUGCAGUACGAUUAGUAGGUAAUCCCGUUAACUUUGUAUAAAACACACAAUUGUACACAAAAGUGUAAUCUCAGUAUCAAACGAAAAAGACAAUCCCUCUAGACUAAAAUGUAAACACAAUGCUUUCAGUCUACAUCCCAGCAUCAGCUCCCUUUUAAAAUAAAAAAAAGUUAAUACAAAAAGUCUGCAUAUAUAAAUAACAAGUUACAUUUACCCAAAAAUAAGAACUUAUAAGACAUAAAAAGAGUACUUCUUUUACGAACGCUCAAAGUGUUUGCAACACAUCACACACCGAAUGGCA
ensembl:lncRNA